CCUGGCGGCAUUAGCGCGGUGGUCCCACCUGACCCCAUGCCGAACUCAGAAGUGAAACGCCGUAGCGCCGAUGGUAGUGUGGGGUCUCCCCAUGCGAGAGUAGGGAACUGCCUGGC
rnacentral:rRNA from 1 species